rnacentral:rRNA from 1 species
UACGUAGGGUGCGAGCGUUAAUCGGAAUUACUGGGCGUAAAGCGUGCGCAGGCUGUUUUUGUAAGUCAGAUGUGAAAUCCCCGAGCUCAACUUGGGAACUGCGUUUGAAACUACAAGACUAGAAUAUGUCAGAGGGGGGUAGAAUUCCACGUGUAGCAGUGAAAUGCGUAGAGAUGUGGAGGAAUACCAAUGGCGAAGGCAGCCCC